rnacentral:lncRNA from 1 species
UUUCUCUCUUUCAACUUUUAUCUCUGCUGCAUUAAGGUAGUGUCCUUUCUAACUCCAACUUCCACACAGCAGAAGCUCUCCAAAUUCAACAACUUAGUAUGGAAGGAUUCAAGUCACACCAAAUCUCAAACAAAUAGAACUAAACCCCCAGCAUUGGAAUCCAUGUGGCUGCACAAAUCAAAACGCCAAAUCCAACACUUUGAGCUGAAAGGAAAGCAUCCGCAUCAGCAAAGAAUGGAAAACAAGUGAAGCUGAUGAUGUCCAAGAGGCCAAAAUCUGUGCAGCAGAAAAUAGCCCUUUCAAUAACACCACCAGACCAAACAACAACAGAAAGAAAAAACAAAACACCUUCGACCAGCAGCGACCAUAUUCAUGAGCGUGGACAAAAGAAGAGAGAGAAGAAGUGACGAAAAUGGAAAAGCAUGAAAUGGGUAUGAGGUGUUGUUUCUGGGGGAUUGAGGCGGCACAUCAGGUGAGGCAGUAGAGAUGAAAGUGGAAAGAGAGAGACACGAGAAAACAGAGAUAGAAA